GAUCCAUUCUGGGCUCUGGGUUCCAGCCCUGGGAUCCAUUCUGGCCCUGGGAUCCCCCUCCCACCUCCCACCCCUCUCCUGGCCCAGCUCUGCCCCCUUUACCCCCCCCGGGUCCCCCCUCUCCUCUCGAGGAGCCCCCAGGACUGAAAUGCCCAAUUUGUGUUUUCCCGGUGACUUUUCUAAACCCCGGCCGGCCGCCGAGCCCGGUGGAAUUUUCUAAUUUCAUAUCAGCUGACGAGGUUUGCUUGGCUUUUAUAUCCUGGCCCUCUCCUCAAAGAGGAGGCGGGCCCGGGCUCUUUGUACUAAUGGGAAAGGCUGUGAGUUAAUUAAUACAGAGCAUUAAUGAUCACUGUGUACGUAAUGAUUCCUUUCAGCACCCCGAGCUCGGAGCGUUCACCCAGAAAAAGCAAAAAAAAAAAGGAAAAAAAGCAAAAAAAAAAACCAACAAAAAAAAAUCCCCUCCCGUUGUUUUUGUGUAGCUCUCCUAACACACUUCUUUAUUUUACUACAGAAAUUAUUUUAGAGGUUUUUUGUAUAGAUCCUAUUUAGUAGAGUCUGUUUCUAAAACAAAAAAAAGCCAAAAAAAAAAAAAUUGAUGACGAUGAUGAUGAUAAUAAUAAUAAUAAUUGUAUUUCCAUAAACGGUGUAAUUUUUUCAGUGUAGCUGCACCUCUGUUGUACAAUAGAGAAAUUUUUAUAAUCAGCCCCAAUGUGAUUCCUCAAAGAUGCUUUUCCCAAAUUCCCCAACCCCAGGACUCCAAGGUGCUUCGGAGAAGAGAGGAGGAAAAAAAAAACCCAGAGGUCUCUGGAAAAUUCACCCCAAACCCGGUGGAGAUUUCUGGAUUUAAUUUAUUUUUGGGGGCUUUUUUGGGGGUAUUUUUGUUCUUUUUUUUAACUUUCUUUGCCUUUUCCCCGUUUUCUCUUCAGCUGUCGGGGUCAGAUGUUCCUGCUGGAUGUGGAUCCAGGAAUGAAUGGACGGGAAUUGGAUUGGGAGGGAGAUUCUGUCCUGAAAAUUGGGGAAAUUUGGGAAUGGGAGGUUCGGGGGAAAAAGGGAGAUUCUGUCCUGAAAAUUGGGGAAAUUUGGGAAUGGGAGGUUCAGGAAAAAAGGGAGGUUCUGUCCUGAAAAUUGGGGAAAUUUGGGAAUGGGAGGUUGGGGGAAAAAGGGAGAUUCUGUCCUGCAAAUUGGGGGAAUUUGGGAAUGGGAGGUUCGGGGAAAAAGGGAGAUUCUGUCCUGGAAAUUUGGGAAUGGGAGGUUCAGGAAAAAGGGAGAUUCUGUCCUGAAAAUUGGGGAAAUUUGGGAAUGGGAGGUCCGGGAAAAAAGGGAGAUUCUGUCCUGCAAAUUGGGGGAAUUUGGGAAUGGGAGGUUCGGGACAGAGCGGGAUUUGCCAGCAGGGGGAGGCGGAGGCUCCGAUGAAUCUCCGGAUUUAGGGAAUUCCUGGGAUUCCUGAGAGGGGAAUGCAGUGGGAUCAGGAAAUUUGGGAAUUUCUAUAGAGGGGAAUGCAGUGGGAUCAAGGAAUUCGGGAAUUUCUGGAAUUCCUGAGAGCAGGGAAUGCAGUGGGAUCAGGGAAUUCAGGAAAUUUGGGAAUUUCUAUAGAGAGGAAUGCAGUGGGAUCAGGGAAUUCAGGAAAUUUGGGAAUUUCUAUAGAGAGGAAUGCAGAGGGAUCAGGAAAUUUGAGAAUUUCUAUAUUUGGGAAUUUCUAUAGAGGGGAAUGCAGUGGGAUCAGGGAAUUCAGGAAAUGUGGGAAUUUUUAUAGAGGGGAAUGCAGUGGGAUCAGGGAAUUCAGGAAAUUUGGGAAUUUCUAUAGUGGGGAAUGCAGUGGGAUCAGGAAAUUUGGGAAUUUCUAUAGAGAGGAAUGCAGUGGGAUCAGGGAAUUCAGGAAAUUUGGGAAUUUCUAUAGAGAGGAAUGCAGUGGGAUCAGGAAAUUUGAGAAUUUCUAUAUUUGGGAAUUUCUAUAGAGCAGAAUGCAGUGGGAUCAGGGAAUUCAGGAUAUUUGGGAAUUUCUAUAGAGGGGAAUGCAGUGGGAUCAGGAAAUUUGGGAAUUCCUGGGAGCAGGGAAUUCCAAGGGGAGGAUCAAGAACGGGGAAUUUCCAGAAUUCCUGGAAUUCCUGCCCAUUUUUUGGGACAUUUUGGGAUGGAGCUGUCCCACAGCCCUGGCUGUUCCCGGGCAGCUCCAUCCCAGGAAUCCGGGAUGGUUUUUGGGGCAGAAUUGGGGAUUUUGGGGCUGGGACGCCUCGGGACCCUCAGGCUGGAUUUUCUCCCCUUUGGAUCCAGGAAUUCUCUCCCCCUGCCAGAGCAGGGCCCAGCAAACCCAAAAUUCCUGGGAAUUUCUGGGAAUUCUUGGGAAUUUCUCCUUUUUGUGCCGCUUUCCCACCCCAAUCCCACCAAACCCGGGGAUCCCACAGGGAGCUCUGCCCUGCUGGUGGAUUUUGGGGUUCAUUUUCAGCCAGGAAAGGCGGAAUUCUCCCCCAGGACAAAGCUGGGGUUGGGUUUUCCAUAACACUGGAAAUUCCAGGCCCGUUUUGGGCCCAAACCCCUCGGUUUUGGCUGAGCUGAAAGCCCCUCCUGAUGAAAGAAAUGCCAUUUUUAAACCAUUUCCUCCAGGAUAUUUAAAUCCCCCUCUGGCAGGAAAAAAUUCCAAUCCUGAAUUCCCAACGCUGGAAUUCUCUGUGUUCCCCCCCUGCAGCCUCCAGCGGUGCCACAAUUCCCUGCUCAGGAUAAUCCAGAAUAAUCCCAUUUUUAAACGCUGAAAAAAACCCCAAAAUGAGCCGCCAACAAUCUGUGUUCCUGGUUUUUCCAAAGCCAUUUUUCCUCCUCAAUAAAUCCUCCAGCGUUCCAGGCCGCUCUUCCAAGGAUUUCCAGAAUCUGGGAUGGUUUUUUCGUUUUCUUUUUCCUGCUCUUCAGCUCCGCUCUGUAUCGGAUCACUCUGAGAAUUUAUGAACUUCCUUUCUGUGGAAGAAGAUUAAAAAUUCCAAACCCCUCUU